CAGAACAGUUGUCCCAGGAGAAGUUCUCUCCUCCAUCUCAGCUUUACGCUGAGCUCCAUGCAGUAGAUGACUCUGUGGAAGAUAAAUGAAGCUGUCUUCAGUGACUGCUUUCUAGGAGGACAAAACAUAAGCAAGAAGUGAACAGACCCUUCAGUGGCAGUUGAACAUAGACAGUUAAUCUUCAGUCAUCAAAACACACAGGUAUUAAUCGUGGAUCUCUCACAAUACCUGCUCUUGACUUCCCAAAUUCAAGAUCAUUACUGUUUUGAUCUCAGCCCCCUUAUCCACAGCUUUUCCCAACUAUUUGCAACCCUCUGGGAGGCCCUGUCUGCUGAAGCAACACCACUUUUCUGCCAUCAGGUUUUCAGGUG